AGAGUUUGAUCAUGGCUCAGAUUGAACGCUGGCGGCAGGCCUAACACAUGCAAGUCGAACGGUAACAUUUCUAGCUUGCUAGAAGAUGACGAGUGGCGGACGGGUGAGUAAUGCUUGGGAACUUGCCUUUGCGAGGGGGAUAACAGUUGGAAACGACUGCUAAUACCGCAUAACGUCUACGGACCAAACGGGGCUUAGGCUCCGGCGCAAAGAGAGGCCCAAGUGAGAUUAGCUAGUUGGUAAGGUAAUGGCUUACCAAGGCAACGAUCUCUAGCUGUUCUGAGAGGAAGAUCAGCCACACUGGAACUGAGACACGGUCCAGACUCCUACGGGAGGCAGCAGUGGGGAAUAUUGCACAAUGGGGGAAACCCUGAUGCAGCCAUGCCGCGUGUGUGAAGAAGGCCUUCGGGUUGUAAAGCACUUUCAGUUGUGAGGAAAAGUUAGUAGUUAAUACCUGCUAGCCGUGACGUUAACAACAGAAGAAGCACCGGCUAACUCCGUGCCAGCAGCCGCGGUAAUACGGAGGGUGCGAGCGUUAAUCGGAAUUACUGGGCGUAAAGCGCACGCAGGCGGUUUGUUAAGCUAGAUGUGAAAGCCCCGGGCUCAACCUGGGAUAGUCAUUUAGAACUGGCAGACCAGAGUCUUGGAGAGGGGAGUGGAAUUCCAGGUGUAGCGGUGAAAUGCGUAGAUAUCUGGAGGAACAUCAGUGGCGAAGGCGACUCCCUGGCCAAAGACUGACGCUCAUGUGCGAAAGUG
rnacentral:rRNA from 1 species